GAGACCACAGAGCAGUGCAGGAGCAGCAGCAGCAGCAGCAGCAGCAGCCGCCUUCGCCGCGUCCGGAGGACUUUUUAUUCCCCAACAUGAAGCGCUCCUGAGACACAGCAGAGAGGAAAAGAGAGGCAGCAGAAGACCAGUGCAAUAACCCUGGAGGAGGAAGAAGGGAGGAGGAGGAGGAGGUGGCAUUUUUUUAACAGACAAACAAAAAACCAUAUAUACAUAUAUGUAUAUAUGAGGUCCUACUUUUUUUCCCUCCCCCUUCCUCUUUUUUCUUCUUAGUAUAUUUUUUUACUCUCUCUUUUUGCUACAAACAACAACAGCAGCAACAAAGUAAAUAAUAUAAACCCACAAGGCAAGAUUUGCCACCAUGGUGCUGGGGAAGGUGAAGAGUCUGACCCUCAGCUUCGACUGUCUGAAUGACAGCAACGUGCCCGUCUACUCCAGCGGGGACACAGUCUCAGGGAGGGUGAGCCUGGAGGUGACCGGGGAGAUCCGCGUGAAAUCCCUCAAGAUCCACGCCAGGGGCCACGCCAAAGUCCGCUGGACCGAGUCGAGGAACGCGGGCUCCAACACUGCCUACACGCAGAACUACACCGAGGAGGUCGAGUACUUCAACCACAAGGACCUCUUGAUCGGCCACGAAAGAGAUGACGAUAAUUCUGAAGAAGGCCUCCACAUCAUUCAUUCAGGACGGCAUGAAUAUGCAUUCAGCUUUGAGCUUCCACAGACACCACUUGCUACCUCAUUUGAAGGCAGACAUGGCAGUGUGCGCUAUUGGGUGAAAGCAGAAUUGCACAGGCCUUGGCUUCUACCAGUAAAAUUAAAGAAGGAAUUUACAGUCUUUGAACAUAUAGAUAUCAACACUCCUUCAUUACUGUCACCCCAAGCAGGCACAAAAGAAAAGACUCUGUGUUGCUGGUUUUGUACCUCAGGCCCAAUAUCCUUAAGUGCCAAAAUUGAAAGGAAGGGCUACACCCCAGGUGAAUCGAUUCAGAUCUUUGCGGAGAUUGAGAACUGUUCUUCCCGGAUGGUGGUGCCAAAGGCUGCCAUUUAUCAAACGCAGGCAUUCUAUGCCAAAGGGAAAAUGAAGGAAGUAAAACAGCUGGUUGCCAACUUGCGUGGAGAAUCACUAUCAUCUGGGAAAACAGAAACCUGGAAUGGCAAACAGUUAAAAAUUCCACCCGUCUCCCCCUCUAUUCUUGAUUGUAGCAUAAUCCGUGUGGAAUAUUCACUAAUGGUAUAUGUGGAUAUUCCAGGUGCAAUGGACUUGUUUCUUAAUCUACCACUUGUUAUUGGUACUAUUCCUUUACAUCCAUUUGGCAGCAGAACAUCAAGUGUGAGCAGUCAAUGCAGCAUGAAUAUGAAUUGGUUUGGUCUGACACUGCCUGAAAGACCAGAAGAACAUUGUUCGAACUGCGUGUACUUUUGCCUUCAGCACCUCCAAGCUAUGCAGAAGUGGUCACUGAGGAGCAAAGACAGUCCAGCCUAGCACCUGCAGCUACUUGUGAUGACUUUGAAAGAGCACUUCAAGGACCAUUAUUCGCCUACAUCCAGGAAUUCCGAUUCCUGCCUCCACCACUUUAUUCUGAGAUUGAUCCAAACCCAGAUCAGCCCUCAGAUGACACACCAUCCUGUCCCUCUCGCUGAAGGAAUGUUUUCUAAAGGUUGAUGGGUCAGGAUUGCAUUUUCGCCAUGUUGAGGAUAAAGGCAUCCCAUGGAGACACACUUUACAAGGAAGUUGUUGCCUAAAAGGAAAGGUGAAAUAAUGAAACAACCUGUGAUUAUGCUUUUGAAGCCUACAGCAAACAUCAUAGGACUGCUCUUCAUGCUUGAAGAUCUGAGUUUGCCCUCCCUGUUGUAUACUGGCACAUACUAAGAGCAGCCUUAAUAUCCUACACUCGUGUGUCAAAACACUCACCGUGUUGCAAGAGGGAUAAGUUCCUCUUUUGAUUUGAAAAUUUGCACAUGCUCAAUGCUUUCGUUGUGCGGUUCAGUGUCACUACAGCUUUUUCUCAUUUAUGUUGGACUAUUGUUAAUCCCUUCUAACUUGUUUGUGGUCCGCACAACAAGGAGCGAAAGAAAGUUUUUAAAACUUUAUGACAAAUGCACUGAUUUUUUUUUAUUUAGAACAACAAACAAUAUAGUCUGGACUUUCCUGCAUAUGCUCAGAAUUGUCCCAGUAAGACUGAUCCAUGUAUCACCUCUUCAGCUUGGAUCCUGUUGUGGAUUUAUUACAAACAUCAAAUGCCUUCAAGCCAAUCCUUGCUGUACGUUUUGCAGCCUACUGUAGUAGACAAGCAACAGAUAUGUGAGGCAAAAAAUGACAGAAGGAAAUCAAUAGGAGUCUUUGUCAAGAUUAUAUACAUUCUUGAUUCCUUCUUAAGAAUUUGUUGCCUUUCUACUAUUACCACAAAGAAGAAUUUUGUUACAGACUGCCUAAAAUCACUUAAUCUCAGGUGAACUCAUCACUUGCCAAAAUGUUGAAAUGCUAUUUGUGUUUAUGUUGCACUGUUGAGUUUUUUUUCUCUUCCUGUUUUUGUUACUUCAUUUGUUUUAUUUGGAAAGGGCGACUUGGAAAAGGGACAUACACAAAUUAACACAUCCUGUUAUCCUUCCAAAAUAUGAGAUGCAACUAAGAAAAGUAGACAAGUUAACAGACUUUUUAGAAGAGCCACAGGAGGCUGCACCCAACCUGUUAUAUCAGCCAAGAGUUACUGAAGAAAAGUUGUGUGUGGUUCAUACAGUGACUCAUGUGGGGAUUUCUCUGCAAUUGGGGUGGGUAGGGAAAGUGAAUUUAUUUUUUUACAUGGAUAUCCUAUAACCACUUGCUUGAAUAAACUUAUUUGUAGUGAUCUUUUAGUCAGGGAUAGAGGGAGUUUUCUCUCAAAUAGAUGUUAUCUUAGAGGAUAAAAAAAUGAUAUGUUUCCAGACAAAAGAGAUUCCCAAUGAACAUCACUCAGACUGCAUUCUCUGCAAGACAGAAGAAUUAACACUGAACAGAGUUAAUAGCCAUAAGUAAUUGGCAGGGAAUUGCUUUGGUUACAAAAUUCAGAGUGGGGCUCAGCCCACAUUACAAGGACUCAGUUUGUGGAUGUUUGGUGUUGGGGCUCUCAACUCAGAUGCUAGCAUCUCACCAUUAAAGAUAUUAACUGACGCACAACUGUCCUCUUCCGAAAGAAACUCAUGACUGAUUCCUACCAAAAUCAGCCAUCCUGAUAUUCCAUGUGACACCAGUAUGGCUCUUUGGGUUAGUUAGUUCACGUGUGAUAACCAGGCUACUGUAAAGGUUGCUUUCUCUGUGGUGAAACCCUGCUUUUUCAAAUCUUCCUUGCUGUUGAGGCUUCAAAACAAACAGGAUAGGCUUUUCCAUAAGUGGCCUUUAUGAAAACAUGGACAGAAAUUCAUGUUUGAACAAUAACAGGGUGAAAAAUAAACAGUAUAAAAUGAGUCACGUUUUAAGUGAUUCACUUAAAAGAGUUUGGCCUUCAGCAAGCUAACUUCAUAUACUGGAUAAUAAGAUAACUGAAUGAUAGAACUUUUUUACAUCUUACUAUUUUGUGAAUGUCCCUCUUCUGCAGAAGAUUUUAAAAACUGUUUUAGUGGGAAAGUGGCAUAAAAGGGCAUUUGGUAGUGUCAUUCUUUUGGAGGAUGUUCUGUUUUUUGUUGCAACCAACUAGGGAACAAUUGCUGUUAUGCAUAGCAUUACAUUUAUCACCACACAAUGGAUGUUUCCAUAUGAAGCAGGAUUGACCAAUAUUGUAGCAAUUGGCAUUGAUUGCAUCACAUACAUUUUGUGAUCAGACUGAAAGUUGUAAACACUAUGAAAAAAAUGGCUCUUACAAAAAAGUUACUCUUCUGUGGCAUUACUGUUAACUGAUUUCCUAAAAUAUUGGUCAAUUUCUGGACAUUGUAAAAUAUGAGGUUCAGAACUAUAGUCCAGUAUUGAAAAUCUAAUUUUAAGCAAAAGGGGGAGGGAGAGGGGCCGCAAGUAAAUAAAAUCCAAAAUGUUAGAAAAACAAAGUGCAAUAUUUAAUGUUUGCUUUAUAGAUUAUAUUCAUUGGCUGUUUGUAUUAUAUUUUCCUUUUUAUUUCCUUUUUCUUUUUUUUAGUUUGGUGCUGAAUAUGUCCUUGUAGACUGUUUCAAGAAAACAGUAUGUGGAAAACAAUUUAAUUUUUCCUAUUGCUCUUCCUUGUGGAUAAUAAACUCUUUCUUUUCUUUUUUACAAAA